AUUUUACGUCUUAUUUUCUCCCUAUUCACUGCCACUCACUGUCCAAUCAUUGUCUGUGUCUCAUUCUCUCAGCAGUCAGUGCCACUCACUUUCCCAUCAUUCUCUGUUAUUCUCUAACCCUUCACUGCCAAUUCUUGUCCAGUCAUUCUCUGUGUUUCAUUUUCUAUCUAUUCACUGUCACUCAUUCUCCAAUGGCUUUUAUGUCUCAUUCUGUACCUAUUUACUUUCAUUCACCGUUCAAUCAUUCUGUGUCCUUCAUUCUGUAACCCUUCAGUGACACUCAGUAUCCAAACAUUCUCUCUGUUUCAUUGUCUAAGCAUUGACUGUCACUCAGUCACCAAUCAUUGCCUGUGUCUGAUUCUCUACCCAUUCACUGCCAUUCAUUGUCCAGUCAUUCUCUAUGUUUCAUUAUUUCACUAUUAACUGCCAUUUAGUGUCCAAUCAUUUCAUGUCUCAUUCUCUACCCAUUCAUUUUCAUUCACUGUCCAAUCAGUCUUUGUGUCUCAUUCUGUAACCUUUCAUUGUUACUCUUUGUCCAAUCAUUCUCUGUGUCUGAUUUUGUCACCAUUCACUUCCACUCAUUGUCCAAUCAGUCUUUGUCUCUCAUUCUUUACCCAUUCAUUGACACUCACUGUCCAAUCAUUCUCUGUGUUUCAAUCUCUCAGCAUUCAUUGCCAUUCACUGUCCCAUCAGUCUUUGUCUCUCAUUCUCUCACCAUUCACUUCCACUCAUUGUCCAAUCAUUCUCUGUGUGUCAUUCUCUGACCAUUUACUUCCACUCAUUGUCCAAUUGUUUUCUCUGUGUCAUUCUCUAAGCAUUCAUUGCCACUCACUGUCCAAUCACUGUCUGUCUCAUUCUCUACCCAUUCACUUCCACUCAUUGUCCAAUCAUUCUUUCUGUCUCAUUCUGUAUCUAUUCACUGCCAAUUACUUUACAGUCAUUCUCUGUGUUUCCUUCUGUAUGCAUUCAUUGCCACUAUCACCUGUCCCAACCUCAUUGCUGUGGGCUUAUUCUUUACCCAUUCACUGCUACUCACUGUCCAGUCACUCUCUAUGUUUCAUUCUCUACCCAUUCACUGCUACUCAUUAUCCAAUCAUUUUGUGUUUCUCAUUUUGUAACCAUUCACUGCCACUCGUUAUCCAAUCAUUCUCUCUCUUAUCUUUACUCAU
rnacentral:lncRNA from 1 species